GACGAACGCUGGCGGCGUGCUUAACACAUGCAAGUCGAACGGUAAGGCCCUUCGGGGUACACGAGUGGCGAACGGGUGAGUAACACGUGGGUGAUCUGCCCUGCACUUCGGGAUAAGCCUGGGAAACUGGGUCUAAUACCGGAUAGGACCACUGCCUGCAUGGGUGGUGGUGGAAAGCUUUUGCGGUGUGGGAUGGGCCCGCGGCCUAUCAGCGUGUUGGUGGGGUGACGGCCUACCAAGGCUACGAUCAGUAGCUGGUCUGAGAUGAUGACCGGCCACACUGGGACUGGGAUACGGCCCAGACUCCUCCGGGAGGCAGCAGUGGGGAAUAUUGCACAAUGGGCGCAAGCCUGAUGCAGCGACGCCGCGUGAGGGAUGACGGCCUUCGGGUUGUAAACCUCUUUCAGCACCGACGAAGCGCAAGUGACGGUAGGUGCAGAAGAAGGACCGGCCAACUACGUGCCAGCCGCCGCAGUAA
rnacentral:rRNA from 1 species